rnacentral:lncRNA from 1 species
AGCAGGUUGGGCAACCAUCACAAUGACCUAAUUUUAGAACAUUCCAUCACUCUCCACCUCUGUCUCUGUUUGUUCCUGCCUCUCUCCAGCCCAGGAAGCCACUGAUCUCCUUUCUGUCUCUAAAGGGAUUCUAGCUUUGACUUAAUGUAUUAAGCAAAGUCCAGGAUUUAAUCAAGGAAAGGAGGCCAUCAGGAAAAUGAAAAUCAACUACACAGAUUCCACUUUUUAUGAGACAGGAUGGAUCUGCUGCCAGACAGCAAAUGGUGCCAGGGUGAAAAGGUUUAUCAAUUCCAGAACCUUACUGAGUACCUCCUCCUAGGAAACUUGAAUGCCAACACCCUGGCUAGCAUCUCAAUUGUGCACUUGUGAGAUUUUGUCUGUAAUUCAAAGAGAACAGAAAAAAAUUAUUCCUAUUGUGUUGUAAAAAUGGAAAUGGAAAAAGAACUGUUGAUUUUAAUUCCUUGACCCAGGACUUCAGAUGCCAGUAAUGGCUGCUAUGAAUAAACACCCACUGAGUACAUCCCAGAAACUUAAUUGUUCUCUUCUUGUGUACAUGGACCAUGCUGAGUCCAAGGGUCUACAGGCUCAUUUAAGGAGCCAUGCCUGGCUCCUAUUACAACCCAAAAUGAUGGCUA